UACGUAGGUGACAAGCGUUGUCCGGAUUUACUGGGCGUAAAGAGCGCGCAGGCGGUCGUUCAAGUCGAGUGUGAAAGCCCCCGGCUCAACUGGGGAGGGUCACUCGAUACUGAUCGACUCGAAGGCAGGAGAGGGAAGUGGAAUUCCCGGUGUAGUGGUGAAAUGCGUAGAUAUCGGGAGGAACACCAGUGGCGAAGGCGGCACUCUGGGCCGGUACUGACGCUGAGGAGCGAAAGCGUGGGGAGCGAACAGG
rnacentral:rRNA from 1 species